rnacentral:rRNA from 1 species
CAAGAGCACAUGCAAUUAAGAUUAAAGAAUUUCGGUAUGCGAUGGGGAUGCGUUCCAUUAGGUAGUAGGCGGGGUAACGGCCCACCUAGCCAUCGAUGGAUAGGGGUUCUGAGAGGAAGGUCCCCCACAUUGGAACUGAGACACGGUCCAAACUCCUACGGGAGGCAGCAGUGAGGAAUAUUGGUCAAUGGGCGCGAGCCUGAACCAGCCAAGUAGCGUGAAGGAUGACUGCCCUAUGGGUUGUAAACUUCUUUUGUCCGGGAAUAAAACCGCCUACGUGUAGGCGCUUGUAUGUACCGGUACGAAUAAGCAUCGGCUAACUCCGUGCCAGCAGCCGCGGUAAUACGGAGGAUGCGAGCGUUAUCCGGAUUUAUUGGGUUUAAAGGGAGCGCAGACGGGUUUUUAAGUCAGCUGUGAAAGUUUGGGGCUCAACCUUAAAAUUGCAGUUGAUACUGGAGACCUUGAGUGCAGUUGAGGCAGGCGGAAUUCGUGGUGUAGCGGUGAAAUGCUUAGAUAUCACGAAGAACUCCGAUUG